UGGAGUACUGUCCCCAUGCUGGAGCAGGGGAAGGACUCCUCUCCCUGAGCAAUGGCAGAAACAACCUGUGGCAAACUGACCAUAACCUCCAUUCCC